rnacentral:tRNA from 2 species
UUAAUUGAAGCCAAAAAAGAGGCUGAUUAUUGUUAAUAAUCUUAUUGGACCCCCCCCCAAUUAAA